CAUCUUCUGUAUAAGCUUAAGUGAUUUAAGAAGGGGUUUGGCUCCUCAGGGACAUCAUUCUUUGAACUUUGAAGAUUAUCCUGAUGAGAAACUGUUCUGUGAGAGUUGAUAUCCUUCAAGGUAGAUCAAUUCCUGUGUUGUCUUGCAGAGUCCAUCAACAAUCACCAAAUCCCUUGGUUUUGAAAGUUUUAGUUCAGAAAAUAUGAGGUAAUGGAAAAGGCAGCUAACUUGGCUUUUAAUUGUGCUAGAGCCAUGAGUCCAUUUCUCCGAUGGCGCAAAGGUAACAAGGGUUACAGAAGUUUUAGCAAAUGGGAAUCUCAGGAUUUGUUAUGGAAGACUCCUAGUGACUUCUUUGUUCUUUUCUCCAAUGUAAGAAAUUUUAUAAUUAUUUAUUGAGAUCAACUUUGCAUGAUGAGCCAAAAUAAAGCUUUGAUGUUUAUAAGUUCUAGUGCUCCCUGCUCAGGUUGGCCUAAUCUACGGGAUUGAAAAUUGAGCUUCCUUCUUGUUUGUUAUUGAUAAACUUUCCUUAGGGGUUCCAAGAUCUUGAUGGUGUUGAACUGUUGAUGGAGUUCUCUCAACAGGAUAGUUGCAGCCUAAUAAGUAUACUAGUAAAUACAAGUGUAGCCUUCACUUUAGUGAACCUUCCUCCUGGAUCACGCCUUUGGGCAAAGAUACACACAACAUGCUCGAGAAAAAUAAUGCACGGGAAGAGGGGAGCACCAUUUCUGCGGACAUUUGAAAAAAAAACAAUUUAAAGAGUGUAGAACCGACUAAACUGGAGUUCUUUCACCUAUUAUCCAGUAAAUGUGGUUGAAUUUAAAAGUCUACCCCUUUUUCCCCUCCUUUUAACACGAGGAGGGAAGAGGCAAACCUGCUCCAUCUGGACCUCAGUGUGCGUGUAUGUACACACACAUAUGUAACAUACCAAAGUAUGCUGAACUAGCAUAUGUAGACGUAU